rnacentral:lncRNA from 1 species
AUGGAGCAGGGGAGGAACAGGGACCCAACGGGUCUGCCUGUUGACGUAGUCCCACACGAAGGGUUGAGAUUGUCCCCGACUUUCCCUCAGGACUUCCUGAUAGCUAAGAGACCACAACCGCUGAUGCAGGAUCACAGACUUUUGAGUUCACAGCUCGAAACUUUCUCUGCCUCACCUCUUGUCCAGCUGCCGAUAUUCACAGCAGCAGGAAGUUUACAUCCAUCCCUGCAGCAGACCGAUGGAUGCCUGGCUCUGCUAAACUCACCUUUUCUUCAGGCUCCUUUGGAUGCCACCUCUUCACAUGGAGCCUAGAUCCUUGUUCCAGUGCCAGGAGUAGGAGGAAAGGGUGCAGCUCUGGGACCACUCAAGGAGCUGCUAAAUAACACCUGAUUAUACAAAUAUCUGUUGGUGUGGAUGGAAAACGAUGUGAAAAAGUGGGAUUGUGUGUUUGGGAUGCUGGCAAACGGUCUUAAAUACCUCAUAAUCACAGGGAAAUUCCUGAAAUUCUACAAUGCAACCACUAAACAAAAUUGCAACAUAUGCAGCAAAGAGUAAAUAUCCGUAACAUACAAUGAGCUCUUGGGGCACCUGGGUGGCUCAGUUGUUGAGUGUCUGCCUUUGGCUCGGGUUGUGGUCCCAGGGUCCUGGGAUCGAGCCCCACAUCAGGCUCCCUGCUCCGCGGGAAAGCCUGCUUCUCCCUCUCCGACUCCCCCUGCUUGUGUUCCCUCUCUUGCUGUGUCUCUCUCUGUCAAAUAAAUAAAUACUUUAAAAAAAUUAAAAAAAAUAAAAAUGUGUGUCAUAAAUGGUUAUUAAAAGCCUUACACAUUCAC